rnacentral:misc_RNA from 1 species
AAGGAUCAUUAUUGAAUGAACUUGGCUUAGUUGCUGCUGGUCUUUUCGAAGGCAUGUGCACACUAUGUCAUCUUUAUCUCUCCACCUGUGCACCUUUUGUAGACCUAGAUUCAACUUUCCGAGGCAACUCGGGUUGUGAGGAUUUUGCUUAGCAAAUUCCUUGUAUGUCUCUAGGCCUAUGUUUUUCAUAUACACCAUAAGAAUGUAACAGAAUGUAAAUUGGGCUUUAUUGUCCUAUAAACUAUAUACAACUUUCAGCAACGGAUCUCUUGGCUCUC